GAACAUAAGGACUUAUUUUCUUCUCAAUCUGAAUCAAUUCCUGAUGAAUCUUGCUUUCAAUUACCUGUUUCACAACCAGAGAAUCCAAGUAGUUUUGAAUUAAUUUCUCAGUUUGAAAAGGAUUCUGAAAACGUUUUGAACAAGGAUGAAUUUUCUGGUCCUCUGAAUGCUCUUGAUAUUGGUGCAUAUGACUUUGGUCUUGAAAGCUUUGUGUCAAUGCAGGAAGGGCCAGAUGAAGAACAAAACUGUGGUCAUCAAGCAAACCAAGAAAGCUCUUCUUCCAUUCAAAAACCGAACCAAACUCAAGGUGAGCAAUGUUCUGAUUAUAAUUCCUUUUUUUAUAACCCUUUUCCUUUUAAUGUUCCAGAUUUAAGGACAAAUAUUUUUGAAGAGGGAGGGAAUGAUGCGCCCUUGAGUAGCGCACCGGGCAAAACAGACAUGCAUAGCUUGAUCAUGGAAAGCAAGCUCCUCAAAGAAGAAUCAGAUCAAACAGAGUUCAGAUGUGGGAGUUAUGAAAUUCGCAAAUCAGGAGACUGUCAGUUCUCGCGAAUUUGGGCCGUACGGAUCGUCCAGUCCACAUCUUGAUCCUUACCGCGAAGGAACCACUUGGUUCAGACGAACCUGGACGUUAGCCGAAGAGUCUCUUUGACCAGAUCUGAGAUCCAAGAGUUUUAAUACAUUGUCUUUAAAUUACUCAUCUUGAUUCGAUUUACUAAGUUUGUCUUUAAUACAUUUUUAAGUAUUUUUCUAUUCCUCAAGUAGUAUAAAUAUGUAAACAUUUCUCAUAAUAAAAUCAGUCUAUGUUUUUGAGUUUAUUUUGUUUCUUCUCUGAGUGAGAGAGAGAGUUCUUUAGCUAGUUCAUUGGUGUGAACCGGCUUGUUGAUUUGGUGGUCAGCCAAUUCAUCUUUGUGUGUUGUUUGGUGGCUAGCCAACACAUUCUUUCUUUCUUAGGUGGUUAGCAUUAGAUCGUGGGUAUAUCAAGAGCCAUUCCGCAUCUCUUGACGAUCCUUUCAAUCCAUCUCAGUUCCAGAAGUGCCUUUGCCUUCUCGGAUCAUAUCCAACACCCAGCUAAAGUGAUCCUUCCCAGUUUAGGGCGUAUCAAGUGGUAUCAGAGCCACUUUUGCUGGUUUGUUUUCUUUCAUCUUUCAUCUUCUCAUCUCUCUACGUUUUUCUUUUCUUAUUUCUUGGAUCUGGGCUGUUCCUUUACUCCCUUGUGAUCGCCUAUUAUAAAAAAAAAUAUAUCGAUUAAAAAAAGAAAAAAGUUUUUGCUUGAAUCACUCCUGAAGAUAAAUCCAGAGGGAGUGGUGGAAGAGAAAACCUGCUGGCUGAAGAGAAACCCAGCCUUAGGACAGUUAAGGCAGAUCCAUAUCAAAAAUCUCUUCAUCUUUCUUUCUCUUUUUUUUUCCCACAAAAGUUUGUUUUGGGUUUUGAUUGCUGAAUUUGACUGCCUAUCAUCCUUUGAACCAGUGGAAUGAACUCUGAGUGAUCACCUAAAAAUCGUGAGCUAAACACUUUGAGAGUGUGAGGAUUUUUAUUUGUUAACUCUUUUGUUAAGUGUUUUCAGGAUGUUUGGACUUCUAAAGAAAUAAAAAUCACAACAAGACGUUUACUUUCCUUUUAAAACCAUGUUAGAAAAAGAGCAAAUGAUUUUUGGAAAUAAGAAACAGUUUGCUUCUAAUGUGUUUGAUUUUGUGAAACAAAGAAACCAAAGGAAGAGACAAAACAUGUUCGAUGAUGAUGAGAAGUGGGUCAGAAGUGGUGAUCGUCCCUUCACCAAAGCCAAGAGAAGCAACCGUGUUGUGUUUGAUCAGAAUGAGCUUCAGACUUAUGUAAGCUUAGAGAAGAUGUUGCAUAAGACAAUUCAUGCUAUCCGACAACUCAAAAAGAAGGGAAACACCAACACUUCUCCUGCACCAAAACAACAAAGUAAUUUUUCUUUUUUUUCAAAUUCUGAUUUGAAAACUAAUGUGUUGUCUUCUGAUAAAAGCAAAGCGGUAAAACCCACAAGAAAAUCUCAUUCUACCAGGUGCUUGAAAUGCCAUAGGAUCGGUCAUUAAGGUAACAAGUGUCAAAAGCAAAGACCGUUGGUGACUUUGGAGAAUGAGAACGUUGAAUCCGAGCCAGAAAAGGUAGACCCAUUACCAAAUUUCGAUGACUACACAUAUGAGUCAAUGGAGGCGAUAGAUGAAGAACAAAUUCGUGGUCAUCAAGCCAACCAAGAAGAAUCAUCUUCCAUUCAAAAAAUGGACCAAAAGGUGAGAAUUGUGCUGAUUAUGGUUCUUUUGCUUAUAAUCCUUUUCCUUUUAAUGUUUCAGAUUUGAGGACAAAUAUUUUUGAAAAGGAAGGGAAUGAUGUGCCCUGGUGUGUGGAUCAUUCCAUUGGAGCCAACCAGCAUGGAGAUCUGGAUGUUCUGAACAAUUUGACCGAGGUUUGUUCAUCCGACCGUACCGAUCAGACUGACCGAGCCGUCCCGCGUGCGUCCCGAUUGGAGCUUCGGCUGGAACCACGUCCAGACGACCGAACCAACAGAAUCAUAGCCUGUAUUCCCCGACCAACUCGACAUGCUAAGACCAACAAUCGAGCCAGACUUAGCUUGGGUCGUGAAGAAACCGAAGACGAACAUGCAUUCUUAUCCGGCGGACCAUCCAGACAGUCCCGCAAGUGUCCUUAUCUUUACCCCGUGCAUCCAUCUGGUUCAGAUGAACCUGGACAUUAUCUGAAGGGUCAUAUUUGACCAAUCUGCAUGGAAGACUGAGGCUUUGACUCAUUAAUUCAGAUCUGGUCAAAUUUUUAUUUUCUAUGCAUUAUUUUCCGUCUUUUUUCUUUAUUAGUUUUUGACUACAAACACUAUAAAUAUGUAGUCUCAUUCUAUGAAUAAAAUAAGUCUAUGUUUUUGAGUU